rnacentral:rRNA from 1 species
AUGGCGAGCUCGACGGCGGCGGAGACGUCUUCUGUACUGCGAGCUCCACCAUCCCUACACAUACUGUACUGCGAGCUCGACGACGACAGUGGCGUCUUCUUGGCAGGCAAAAUUCCUAACUGUUGGAGUAGCUUCGUCAUAAGCCUGAAAUGCAACUUGGAGGACAAUUGGACAACAGGAGAACAAUUGGACAACAUCAUCAGGAGGUUAGCAACCAACACGAACUGCAACACGAAAUUUCAGGAUAAUCGGGAGGACAGCAACAAUAAAUUUCAGGAUCACAAAGAGUUCAGUGGAGGCGGGGGCGGGGACGGGGAUUGGAGUACCAACCGUCCGCAAUAG